rnacentral:rRNA from 1 species
GAUGAACGCUGGCGGCGUGCCUAAUACAUGCAAGUCGAGCGAACAGACGAGGAGCUUGCUCCUCUGACGUUAGCGGCGGACGGGUGAGUAACACGUGGAUAACCUACCUAUAAGACUGGGAUAACUUCGGGAAACCGGAGCUAAUACCGGAUAAUCUAUUGAACCGCAUGGUUCAAUAGUGAAAGACGGUUUUGCUGUCACUUAUAGAUGGAUCCGCGCCGCAUUAGCUAGUUGGUAAGGUAACGGCUUACCAAGGCAACGAUGCGUAGCCGACCUGAGAGGGUGAUCGGCCACACGGGAACUGAGACACGGUCCAGACUCCUACGGGAGGCAGCAGUAGGGAAUCGUACGCAAUGGGCGAAAGCCUGACGGAGCAACGCCGCGUGAGUGAUGAAGGUCUUCGGAUCGUAAAACUCUGUUAUUAGAGAAGAACAAAUGUGUAAGUAACUAUGCACGUCUUGACGGUACCUAAUCAGAAAGCCACGGCUAACUACGUG